UGUCGAAAAACAAGUUAUUUCUUAGGUGAUUAUGUCUUAUUCUAAGUGUAAUGAGAUAUUUUAAGACAUUUUGACUUGAAAUGUUCUUGGUAAGAUUUGAGUUUUUGCAGUGUAGGACUCCCUCCCUUUUCCAUCAGGUCUCAGGAACAGAAGCUGCUGCUGCCAGUUUGUUAUUGUCCUGUUUAUGUAAGCAACGGAAAGAAAUGUGCACUCGAGUGUUUGUGCAUGUGGGUGUGUGUGUGUGUGUGUGUGUGUGUGUGUGUGUGUGUGUGUUGGGGGGGCGUCCAGGAGUCCAUAUGUUGUGGCACCGCAGAUCAAAAAGAUGAAAGACACUGUAGCGCCGAAGAGACAGAUGGACUCGCUGAAACACACACACACACACACACACAAAUUUGGGCACACAGGCAGGCAGACACCUGGCCGCAUAUCAAAUGCCAUUAGAAUAGAGAAGCAAACUGUGUGUGUGUGUGUGUGUGUGUGUGUGUGUGUGUGUGUGUGUGUAUACCUUUGUGUUAGGGCUCGACCGAUUUAUGGGUUUACGGAUAUCCGGCGCCGAUAUCUGCCUUAUUUUUAUUAUUAUUAUUUUUUUUUAAAUAUAUAUAUCUUGAUAUCGGCGUGUCAGAUGUCUUUCCUCUCGAGGUUAAUCUUUAGUUCUUUUUAAAAAAAAAAAAUAAAAAAAUUUAAUAUCGUUUGCACUUUCAUUUUGCUUUAUCAGCUUUGCAUUUGGAAAAAGAUUUAUCCUAAUUUUUUUUUUUUUUUUUUUUUUUUUUGCCCUAGAAAUAUGCUCAUUUAAAGAUACUGAGGUACUGAAUACUGAGUAUCGGUCUUAAAAAAAAAAAAAAAAAAAAAAUACAUCAGUCCAAGCCUACUGUGUGUGUGUGUGUGUGUGUGUGUGUGUGUGUGUGUGUGUGUGUGUGUGUGUGACCAACCCUGUAACUCUAGCCCACCUGUAAUUGGCUGCUCACUCGCCCCAGCAACUCUCAGACACACACCGUCCCGUUGUGGCCAGACCUACUGAACUGAGAGAGAGAGAGCGAGAGAGAGAGAGAGAGAGAGAGAGAGAGAGAGAGAGAGCCUCCAGAGGGGUUAGUGUUCCCCUAAACCAGAAACAGAGAGAAGGGGGAGUGACGGCGGUGGGUUUUAUCCGUACAAUCAGAGGCAGCACAGGGAGGAAAACAGGCCCCGCUCACCUUUCCAACGCUCCUCCGUUUCUCCCCCUUUUUUUUUUGUUGUGCACUUUGCUUUUGUGUGAAGUCGCUCGGUCGGCGUGCCGUGUGUUUUUCUGGUUAUUGUUUCAAUCUGUUCUGUAGAAGUCGUGAGAGAGAAAGAGAGAGAGAGAGAGGGAGGAGGGCGGGAGGGGUGUGAGGCGUCUCCAGCCCUCUGUUUUUCUAUUUAACAUUGUUUUUGUACUUUUUUUUUUUUUAAACUUCAUCCACUUGGCAGCUUGAUAUUUAAUGUCUUUUUAAGGCGUUGCGUAUGUGUCGGUGUGUGUGUGUGUGUGUGUGUGUGUGUGUGUGUGUGUGUGUAAGCUCAUAAGCACUGUCUCAGCCUACUGCAUGAAUCGAGCUCCACCCCCCCACCCACCCCCCACCCCGAGUCGAUGGACGGUAUCCCGGCCUCCUGCGAGGUCACACCACGGCGGCCAUUUUGGUUCCUCUGAGUGACAGUUUCCUGUUGCCAAUCAUGAUUUUGAUAGAAGUCGACUUAACGACACAAAGAAACCACGUUGUGUUUUUUUUUUUGUUGUUGUUGUUUUUUAUGAUGUUUUUUUGUUCGGUUUGCUUUCACAACUUUGUCCCAGUUUCUCACAUUCACUCACACACACUCACAAACACACACACACACACACACACACACACAGUGCAGCCUCUGUUGUACGCUGUGGUCUGAUUGUGGCUGUGUCCUCUUGCCAGUCAAACAGUCGGACUACUGUAGCCGCUGUGUUUGUGCCCGAGCUGUUAUGCGAUCGCCAUGAAGGCCGGCCAUUGUGUGUCCCAGCUCAUUUUUGUCGUCGCUCCGCAGCUCAGAACCGGUUUGGGCCGGAGUCCCGGGCCGCCCGGACCCCAGGAGAAAAACAGCAACUUUCGACCUUAUUCUUUGUUUUAAUGUUCUGUGUCUGGUACCAAAGCGGUGCUGGUAUGAAGCUUUUUUUUUUUUUAAUUGUUAUUAUUAUUAUGAUUGUUAUAAUUAUUUUUAUUUUCCACUUCCUCUUUGAUUUCUGGCAACCUUUUAUUUCUUCCUCCAAAUGGUGAAAGAUGUCAAAAUAUGAAAAAAAAAGAGACUAUCAUCUCUUGAAAAAAAAAAAAAAAAAUUAUUGGAGUUGCAUGCUGAAAUGCAAAUGGUUGUCUUGUCUUUGAAACUGAAUUGCACCUUAUCAGAGGGAUGUGGUUUUAUUUUUUUGUUUCUUUUAUAAUAUAUACAUGGAGGAUGUAUACUUUUUUAUAUAAAAGGUAACUGUUAGCUAGCCAUGCAAUGGUGUUGUAUCCUAAGCAGGGUUUUAUGAGUUGAUUUCUAAUGUUUUUUUUUUAAUUAUUAUUAUUAUCAUCGUUAUUGUUUAUGCCUGUUAAUUGCCAGGUCUGAUGAUUGAUUUAGCCACUGGUGUUUCUUGUGGGAAAACUUCACAAAGCGGGAUCAGCAGCUUCGCCCAAAGAUAGUGAAUAUCUAGAAGAGCACUGGGUCUCCAGAAGUGGCGCCUCUGAGUGCGAAUCAGCGGCGGGUCGAACUCUUUGACCCGAGAACCCGAAUCUGAGCUCGUAUUUAGUCCAAACUGAGAUACGUAUCAUCUGAAAAAACACGAGGCCAGCCCCUGCCAAAAUGAUCGAUCGCAAAAAUCGGUGGGGUCGGUCCUCGAUUGAAAAUGAUAUCACAUUUUGUACGUGUGUGUGGAUCCUCUCUCUCUGUGUCAGAAAUAUCGAAUCGCUAUUAAGAUGAUGUAAUGCGAUUUCUUAGGUAGGAGACGUGGAGCAGAAACAGGCCUUCGCUGUGAAGGAGCUGCUGGAGGCUCAUAGUCGAUGACUGGCUGGGUAACUGCUGCUGCUUUGUGAAGCCUUGUCCACACACACACACAUGCACACACACACUCACACACACACAGCACUGUCCUCACACAGUGACCACUUGCAGGCGUCCUGUUUGUCCUCUCGUACAUCACACAUACACUUCCUCUGCCUUCUGUCCAUCUUGUCCUUGAAUCAGAGCGAAUCACUGACUGACAAAAGACACCAUGUUGUCUGGACACACACACACACACAUGCACACACACACACACACACACAAUGUGGCCUUGGCGGCUGACUGGCACUAGGCUUGGUGCUGCCACCCGGUCCCACGUCCCCGGGGCAGAGUGCUGUCUGCAGCCAAUUAACCAGCAGGGCCGGUUGCCAGGUCCAUAUCCAUCUAAUCCUCUCCACUCUCCCACUGGGCCGCCAGAUUUAGCCCUUCACUCUUCACUCGGACUCUGUUCUACUGCAGGUUGUUAAAAAAAAAAAAAAAAAAAAGCUCUAUAAUGUGAGUGGGAUUGUGAGAGUUGGUUCAAUGACUUGGUUUUAGGUGUGUUUUUGAUGGAGGAAAAGCGAGCAGUUCCAAUCCAGGUUGUUUAUAUAUAUAUUUUUUUUUUGCUUCCCAUCAUUUAUAAUUGCACGAUAGCACCAGCUCACUGCUGACUUCACUGAUGAGAGACUCACCGCUCUGCUGCCACCUCAUGCUCACCAUCAACACGGUCUGACGGUCACUGAUUUUCCCAAAAACCAUCAUAAAUGUCCUUUUUGAGAGCAAGAACUUCACAACACGGACAGAUUCGUCUUGAAAUUGUCAAAAAAAAAAAAAAAAAGGUUGCAAACAGUGAUUCCUAACCUUUUAGUUUUUAUAACAACACAUUGCCUUGUUUACAUCCAUUUGAACUCAGAAACCAGAUUUUCUGACUUACAAUCUGCGACGAUGUGGCGUUCAGAGUCACAGGGCGCCCAUUAAUCAGGCGGAUGCUGCGAGUUCCCAGGUGAAGUGAAUGCAGCAUUAGCAGACUUUGCAGCAGAACGGUGUGGCAUGUUAGAAAACAGCAUUUGUAAUCUUUUUUUUUGUGUGUGUGUGUGUGCAUGGGCAGAUUCAAGACGUCUUUGACUGUGUUGUGAGUUUCCUGUUUUCAAAAAGGACAUUUCUAAUGUUUUAUUGGGCCAGAAACCAACGUUGCACUGAUGCAGGCUAAUGCUUAUAGCAAGAAGGUGCAGCGGAGUGGUUUCUCCUCGCUAAAGCCAGAGGUGAGGCUGUGCCAUGUGCAGUUAUCAAUGAUGGGAGUCAACAUUUCAAUACAACCUGGGCUGAAAAAAAAAAAAAAAAAAAAAAAAACACUGCUUUUUUUUCUAUUGACCUGAAUGGGAAUGAAUAGACGGAAAUCAAUCUUGUCUGCAGCUUUUGUCCAUCCUGAUCCACCGUAAAGCUGUUGUUUUAAUGUUCAUACCACACACACACACACACACAUACACAUACACACACACACACGUCAGACCAGUCAUUCCUCUUGCAGCUUAGGUUGAAUCAGCUCACCGUCCACGUUGAAGCCCGUGCAUUAUGUUCGCUGACAGGAGAGGACAAAGUGACGAGAAAGCUUUUUUUUUUUAUUUUAUUUUAUUAUUUUUUUCCCGAACAGCAGCGCUUCAUGUGAAUGCACCCCCAUCACACGUUGUGACAUUGUACAAUAAUACAGCCCAUAUCCCCCGCCUCCCUCUGCUCCCAUGCACUGAUAAUGAUUGUAUAUGAUCACAUAGUUCAUUUUUAUUUUUUUAUGUCAUUUUUGUGGGUUAUGGGUUUCUGCGGUUGUUUAUUAUUUCGUGGUGUUUUUUUUUAAAUGAUUUGAUGGGUCUGUCUCUCUGUAUCGAGGUGUGUGUGUGUGUGCGAGAGAGAGAGUGUGUGUGUGUGCGCGAGAGAGAGAGAGAGAAAGCAAAGAGAGACCGGGUGUGUUGUUCAGUGGCUCAGUGUUCAACUUCCAACGCUCAUCAGCCCCCCUUUGCCCGUGUUCAUCAUUGUGCCAGUGUGUUCAGGUGUUCCUCGCCUCAGCAUCCGUUCAUCCAAAUAAGAGAGAGAGAGAGAGAGAGAGAGAGAACGGGAGAGGAGGAGGAGGCAGAGAGGGCCUUUUCCCUGAGGGGAAAAAAAAAAACACACGAGAAAAGAUACUUUUGAAAAAAGGAUAUUUUUCUCCUCUGCGGGGUCACAAAGAAGAGUGUAAAUUUCUAAGUUAAUUGAAAACGAUGAAUAAAAAAAAAAAAAAACUCAUUUGUUCUCUAUAUGAAUGGCUGUAUGUUAACCAUGAACAAAAAGUAAUGAGUU